UACGUAGGGUGCGAGCGUUUGUCCGGAAUUAUUGGGCGUAAAGAGCUCGUAGGCGGUGUGUCGCGUCGGCCGUGAAAACCUGCAGCUUAACUGUGGGCUUGCGGUCGAUACGGGCAUCACUGGAGUUCGGCAGGGGGAGACUGGAAUUCCUGGUGUAGCGGUGAAAUGCGCAGAUAAUCAGGAGGAACACCGGUGGCGAAAGGCGGGGUCUCUGGGGCCCGAUACUGACGUGAGGA
rnacentral:rRNA from 1 species